rnacentral:rRNA from 1 species
UCUUGAUUAUAAAUAAAACAAAAUUUACCAGAGUAAUACGAAUAAACAAAAUUUAAAACUCAAAGGGCUUGGCGGUGUCUUAGACCACUUAGGGGAACCUGUCUCAUAAUCGACAAUCCACGUUAUACCUAACCUUUUUUUGUUUUCAGCUUGUAUACCGUUGUCGUCAGGUAACUUUUUAAAAACUAUAAGUUAGCUAAAAAUUACAAUUAAUUAAAACGUCAAAUCAAGGUGCAGCUUAUAAAAAGGGGAGGAUGGGUUACAAUUAUAAAUUAUAAUUACGGAUAAUUUUUUAAAAAUAAAAAUUUGAAGGAGGACUUAAAAGUAAAUAAAAUUAUAAAAACAUUUUGAAUUUGGCUCUGAGACGUGC